rnacentral:rRNA from 1 species
CCUACGGGGGGCUGCAGUGAGGAAUAUUGGUCAAUGGGCGCAAGCCUGAACCAGCCAAGUCGCGUGCAGGAAGAAUGUCCUAUGGAUUGUAAACUGCUUUUGUUUGGGAAUAAAGUGAGGUACGUGUACCUUAUUGUAUGUACCAUUCGAAUAAGGAUCGGCUAACUCCGUGCCAGCAGCCGCGGUAAUACGGAGGAUCCAAGCGUUAUCCGGAUUUAUUGGGUUUAAAGGGUGCGUAGGCGGACCCUUAAGUCAGUGGUGAAAGUUUGCAGCUCAACUGUAAAAUUGCCAUUGAAACUGAGGGUCUUGAGUGUAAAUAAGGUAGGCGGAAUGUGUUGUGUAGCGGUGAAAUGCAUAGAUAUAACACAGAACACCGAUUGCGAAGGCAGCUUACUGGGAUACAACUGACGCUGAGGCACGAAAGCGUGGGGAUCAAACAGGAUUAGAUACCCCUGUAGUC